rnacentral:rRNA from 1 species
CGUGGGUAACCGUAGCCCUACUACACAGAUAACAUACUGAAAAGUUUAACAAUACAUGAUAAUAUAUAUUUGUUGGCAUCGCAGAUAUAUCAAAGUGUUAGCGGUAUAGGAUGGACCCGCGUCUGAUUAGCUAGUUGGUGAGAUAACUGCCCACCAAGGCGACGAUCAGUAGCCGACCUGAGAGGGUGAUCGGCCACAUUGGAACUGAGACACGGUCCAA